rnacentral:rRNA from 1 species
AUUGAACGCUGGCGGCAGGCCUAACACAUGCAAGUCGAGCGGAGCGGCGGACGGGUGAGUAAUGGCUAGGAAUGUGCCUGGUAGUGGGGGAUAACGUUCGGAAACGGGAGCUAAUACUGCAACCUAUCGGAUGAGCAUAGGCCGGAUUAGCUUGUUGGUGGGGUAAAGGCCUACCAAGGCGACGAUCCGUAACUGGUCUGAGAGGAUGAUCAGUCACACUGGAACUGAGACACGGUCCAGACUCCUACGGGAGGCAGCAGUGGGGAAUAUUGGACAAUGGGCGAAAGCCUGAUCCAGCCAUGCCGCGUGUGUGAAGAAGGUCUUCGGGUUGUAAAGCACUUUAAGUUGGGAGGCGUUACCAACAGAAGAAGCACCGGCUAACUUCGUGCCAGCAGCCGCGGUAAUAC